rnacentral:rRNA from 1 species
GACGAACGCUGGCGGCGUGCUUAACACAUGCAAGUCGAACGGAAAGGCCCCCUUGUGGGGUACUCGAGUGGCGAACGGGUGAGUAACACGUGAGUAACCUACCCUUGACUUUGGGAUAACUUCAGGAAACUGGGGCUAAUACCGGAUAGGAGCUCCUGCUGCAUGGUGGGGGUUGGAAAGUUUCGGCGGUUGGGGAUGGACUCGCGGCUUAUCAGCUUGUUGGUGGGGUAGUGGCUCACCAAGGCUUUGACGGGUAGCCGGCCUGGGAGGGUGACCGGCCACAUGGGGACUGAGAUACGGCCCAGACUCCGACGGGAGGCAGCAGUGGGAAAUAUGGCACAAUGGGCGGAAGCCUGAUGCAGCAACGCCGCGUGCGGGAUGACGGCCUUCGGGUUGUAAACCGCUUUCGCCUGUGACGAAGCGUGAGUGACGGUAAUGGGUAAAGAAGCACCGGCUAACUACGUG